rnacentral:rRNA from 1 species
UACGGGGGGGGCAAGCGUUGUUCGGAAUUACUGGGCGUAAAGGGCGCGUAGGCGGCCUGCUAAGUCGGACGUGAAAUCCCUCGGCUCAACCGGGGAACUGCGUCCGAUACUGGUGGGCUCGAAUCCGGGAGAGGGAUGUGGAAUUCCAGGUGUAGCGGUGAAAUGCGUAGAUAUCUGGAGGAACACCGGUGGCGAAGGCGGCAUCCUGGACCGGUAUUGACGCUGAUGCGCGAAAGCCAGGGGAGCAAAGCGGGAU